rnacentral:rRNA from 1 species
AUGGAGGAGCAGGCCAACACCCCUCCCUCUUCAUGCAUGGCUACCGGCCUGAGCAAUCUCCUUUUAAUUCACGGUCUCUUCCAGUUUCUCAAUUAUUCAUACAUUUGCAUCUAUGUUCCAGCCGCCCCCUUCUUCAUGGCUAGGAUUUGGGUGAAAGGAGGCCACAACAGGGGAGAAGUGGCCAGGGGACAUAGCCAUGCCAUUCACUCUCAAACCUCGGCUACGAAAUUAUUGCACAGGGAAUGUCUUUUGCAUGGCAGAAAGAGUUGUGGCAGGCAAAGAGGUCAUAAUUUCUGGAUCCGCGCCGCCAUCAAGCCGGGCCCCAACGGUCGCCUCCUUCUCUACAACCAGUGCCAGGCCCUUCGGUGCAUCGAUCCGGCACCAGGAACCAUGAGAAGCAGGCCCUUCUACCCCGCCGCCGGCGCCGCCUCCUCGCGAGAUCCCGACCAUGAGGAACCUCUUACUUUUACGGUUAAGCCUGUUGCAUUUGUUCAUUCAGAGGAGGCAGCUGAUAGGUCCGCUGUAGAUGCUGUUUGUUCUGUUUGUCGAGGCUUUUGUCGGCCUGCUGUCUGCUGCCGUGUUGAGAGGUUGCAAGGUUCCUGGUUGGUGCUCGGGUCUGCUUGGAUCCCUGUGCCUGAUUUGUCCUUAUCUGGCAGCGCGGAGAUGAUCCAUGAUCUGGUGGUGGGAAGUGGCUCCAUAUUGGUGAUUGGACCUCCUGGUCCAGAAGAUGGUGUUGUUAUCCACGAGGAUGUCUUAAAUGAUACGAGAGGUGUCAGAAAUGCUACUCAGAGAAAGCUCCUCAAUGAGCUGGGCAUCCCAGCUGAAGAUGUGCCCGUUGACCAGUUCAUUCCUGUCAGUCGGAUGCUUGACAGGGUGUCGGCUGUAGAGACAGAAGAGGAGGUUGAGGCAUCCUCGACGCCUGCUGCAGCGACCACGACCACAUGCAUCUAA